UACGGAGGAUCCGAGCGUUAUCCGGAUUUAUUGGGUUUAAAGGGUGCGUAGGCGGGUUAUCAAGUCAGCGGUAAAAAUUCAGGGCUCAACCCUGUCGAGCCGUCGGAACUGGCAGUCUCGAGUUGGGGAGAAGUAUGCGGAAUGCGCGGUGUAGCGGUGAAAUGCAUAGAUAUCGCGCAGAACUCCGAUUGCGAAGGCAGCAUGCCGGCUCCACACUGACGCUGAGGCACGAAAGCGUGGGUAUCGAACAGG
rnacentral:rRNA from 1 species